GAAUCCCUUGUCCUUUGGAUCCAAAACACACUGUGUAUGAAGAUCAGCUACAAAAACAUUUGAAAAAGUGUAAUUCAAGAGAGAAGCCAAAGCCUGUCUACUUUAUUAAAGAUAUUAAUGCAGGACUGAAAAAUGAAACA